rnacentral:lncRNA from 1 species
UGAUAUAGGUAGAAAAAUAAUCUAAAUGUUCAAUGAUAUAGGUUAAUAGGUAUCCUUGAGAAAAUCAUAAAGUUUGAGAAUCAGAAUUUUAUUAGAUUAUUCGUUACAUCUUUUUGGAAUCAAAAUGCAGCACUCGAGGGUUUUAAUAUUAAUGACAGAAACAAAAUGUUACAAUCAGGAGCUGGUUUUAGUAGUUUUCGAGUUGCAACACAUCAUUCAUUCACUCUUUGAACUAAAGACAAACAUUGAUGUGGAAACUAUAAACUUCAUUUAAAUCUAUGACUUAAAAAUUAUAUCUGCCAAUUCUUGUCUCUAUUGACUUGUUUAGGUCAAUAUGAACUGUUGCGUUUGUGGUCAAAAAAUAUUUGGCUAUUAGUUUUGACACAUGAACAUACUCAAAGAAACAUGGACACUUUUGCAAGCUGUCCUUGAAUGAGCUUUUCAAUUGUCCAAUUAUUGAACAUAAUUUUUGUCUGUUGUGAUUGUGUCCGAUCAUUGCCUUGCACAGGUUAACGACGUCAUGUCCAACUUUGGAUAUGAGAUUUUAGUAAUAUGAUGGGAAAGUAGAGAUUGUUUGAAGAAACUAUAACUAUGUUAAAAUUUUAAAAUAUACUUUUGAAAACAGAAAAGAUUAAAUACAUACAUCAUACAUGCCUUGAAAUUUACAUAACCGCUAGCAAUUGAUUAUUAUUGUUUUGAAAUUAUAUAUGGGUGUUUGAUCCGCUUAGAGCAUUCAACUAAUUCUACGGGUGCCUAACCCUCCUGCAAGAUACUUACAUCGGGCUAUUCUAUGCGUUUGGGUACCCCCUAAGGUUGGCUGAAGUUGAUCAUGUGACAUCUCCUUGGCAAAUAUCAUGGUAGAGCACGUCUUUGAACCAAUCCUUUGCAUGUGCUACAGAUUGAUUAUUAAGUUGUAUACAUUAAUAGUUUUAAUGUUACUAUUGCAUGAUAUUAAUUAGAUUUGCUCGUUAUAUUGUUUUUAUAUAAAUAUUUCAUGUUACUGUGUC